UCAGAAGGGUUCUAAUUCUGCUCCACCAAUUGUCUGCUGUAUGACCUUGGAUAUGCCCGGGAAGAACAUCCCAUCAUGCCCGUUUCAUCUGCUUGGCAUUUCCAGACCUGGAAAACAGAGUGAGGAUGUGGCACCUACUAAGCUUUCCAAAUGGACUCUGCCAUUGGCCUGAAAAUCGUCCCCUUGCCAUAAACGAUCGAGCCUCACGAGGAACAAGCCACGCAGGGCUAAAUUCAGGUUGCACAAUGCUGUAGCUUGCACCUUGCCAGAUAUUUCUGGCAAGCACAUCCCCCCCCGACCACAAAAUCGUUGUUAUGGACUCUUUUCUCCCUCCUUGUUUGCUCAUCCUCUAUAAAAUGUCCUUUAAAUCAC